UCCAUAGGUUAAUGAGGCGAACCGGGGGAACUGAAACAUCUAAGUACCCCGAGGAAAAGAAAUCAACCGAGAUUCCCCCAGUAGCGGCGAGCGAACGGGGAGCAGCCCAGAGCCUGAAUCAGUGUGUGUGUUAGUGGAAGCGUCUGGAAAGGCGUGCGAUACAGGGUGACAGCCCCGUACACAAAAAUGCACAUAUUGUGAGCUCGAUGAGUAGGGCGGGACACGUGGUAUCCUGUCUGAAUAUGGGGGGACCAUCCUCCAAGGCUAAAUACUCCUGACUGACCGAUAGUGAACCAGUACCGUGAGGGAAAGGCGAAAAGAACCCCGGCGAGGGGAGUGAAAAAGAACCUGAAACCGUGUACGUACAAGCAGUGGGAGCACGCUUAGGCGUGUGACUGCGUACCUUUUGUAUAAUGGGUCAGCGACUUAUAUUCUGUAGCAAGGUUAACCGAAUAGGGGAGCCGAAGGGAAACCGAGUCUUAACUGGGCGUUAAGUUGCAGGGUAUAGACCCGAAACCCGGUGAUCUAGCCAUGGGCAGGUUGAAGGUUGGGUAACACUAACUGGAGGACCGAACCGACUAAUGUUGAAAAAUUAGCGGAUGACUUGUGGCUGGGGGUGAAAGGCCAAUCAAACCGGGAGAUAGCUGGUUCUCCCCGAAAGCUAUUUAGGUAGCGCCUCGUGAAUUCAUCUCCGGGGGUAGAGCACUGUUUCGGCAAGGGGGUCAUCCCGACUUACCAACCCGAUGCAAACUGCGAAUACCGGAGAAUGUUAUCACGGGAGACACACGGCGGGUGCUAACGUCCGUCGUGAAGAGGGAAACAACCCAGACCGCCAGCUAAGGUCCCAAAGUCAUGGUUAAGUGGGAAACGAUGUGGGAAGGCCCAGACAGCCAGGAUGUUGGCUUAGAAGCAGCCAUCAUUUAAAGAAAGCGUAAUAGCUCACUGGUCGAGUCGGCCUGCGCGGAAGAUGUAACGGGGCUAAACCAUGCACCGAAGCUGCGGCAGCGACACUAUGUGUUGUUGGGUAGGGGAGCGUUCUGUAAGCCUGUGAAGGUGUACUGUGAGGUAUGCUGGAGGUAUCAGAAGUGCGAAUGCUGACAUAAGUAACGAUAAAGCGGGUGAAAAGCCCGCUCGCCGGAAGACCAAGGGUUCCUGUCCAACGUUAAUCGGGGCAGGGUGAGUCGACUCCUAAGGCGAGGCCGAAAGGCGUAGUCGAUGGGAAACAGGUUAAUAUUCCUGUACUUGGUGUUACUGCGAAGGGGGGACGGAGAAGGCUAUGUUGGCCGGGCGACGGUUGUCCCGGUUUAAGCGUGUAGGCUGGUUUUCCAGGCAAAUCCGGAAAACUAAGGCUGAGGCGUGAUGACGAGGCACUACGGUGCUGAAGCAACAAAUGCCCUGCUUCCAGGAAAAGCCUCUAAGCAUCAGGUAACAUCAAAUCGUACCCCAAACCGACACAGGUGGUCAGGUAGAGAAUACCAAGGCGCUUGAGAGAACUCGGGUGAAGGAACUAGGCAAAAUGGUGCCGUAACUUCGGGAGAAGGCACGCUGAUAUGUAGGUGAAGUCCCUCGCGGAUGGAGCUGAAAUCAGUCGAAGAUACCAGCUGGCUGCAACUGUUUAUUAAAAACACAGCACUGUGCAAACACGAAAGUGGACGUAUACGGUGUGACGCCUGCCCGGUGCCGGAAGGUUAAUUGAUGGGGUCAGCGCAAGCGAAGCUCUUGAUCGAAGCCCCGGUAAACGGCGGCCGUAACUAUAACGGUCCUAAGGUAGCGAAAUUCCUUGUCGGGUAAGUUCCGACCUGCACGAAUGGCGUAAUGAUGGCCAGGCUGUCUCCACCCGAGACUCAGUGAAAUUGAACUCGCUGUGAAGAUGCAGUGUACCCGCGGCAAGACGGAAAGACCCCGUGAACCUUUACUAUAGCUUGACACUGAACAUUGAGCCUUGAUGUGUAGGAUAGGUGGGAGGCUUUGAAGUGUGGACGCCAGUCUGCAUGGAGCCGACCUUGAAAUACCACCCUUUAAUGUUUGAUGUUCUAACGUUGACCCGUAAUCCGGGUUGCGGACAGUGUCUGGUGGGUAGUUUGACUGGGGCGGUCUCCUCCUAAAGAGUAACGGAGGAGCACGAAGGUUGGCUAAUCCUGGUCGGACAUCAGGAGGUUAGUGCAAUGGCAUAAGCCAGCUUGACUGCGAGCGUGACGGCGCGAGCAGGUGCGAAAGCAGGUCAUAGUGAUCCGGUGGUUCUGAAUGGAAGGGCCAUCGCUCAACGGAUAAAAGGUACUCCGGGGAUAACAGGCUGAUACCGCCCAAGAGUUCAUAUCGACGGCGGUGUUUGGCACCUCGAUGUCGGCUCAUCACAUCCUGGGGCUGAAGUAGGUCCCAAGGGUAUGGCUGUUCGCCAUUUAAAGUGGUACGCGAGCUGGGUUUAGAACGUCGUGAGACAGUUCGGUCCCUAUCUGCCGUGGGCGCUGGAGAACUGAGGGGGGCUGCUCCUAGUACGAGAGGACCGGAGUGGACGCAUCACUGGUGUUCGGGUUGUCAUGCCAAUGGCACUGCCCGGUAGCUAAAUGCGGAAGAGAUAAGUGCUGAAAGCAUCUAAGCACGAAACUUGCCCCGAGAUGAGUUCUCCCUGACUCCUUGAGAGUCCUGAAGGAACGUU
rnacentral:rRNA from 1 species